rnacentral:rRNA from 1 species
CUACGGGAGGCAGCAGUUGGGAAUCUUGCACAAUGGGGGAAACCCUGAUGCAGCGACGCCGCGUGGAGGACGAAGGGUCUAGGUCUGUAAACUCCUUUUUCACGGAAAGACUUAGGACGGUACCGUGAGAAUAAGCCCCGGCUAACUACGUGCCAGCAGCCGCGGUAAGACGUAGGGGGCGAGCGUUGUCCGGAUUUACUGGGCGUAAAGAGCGCGUAGGCGGCUCGUUAAGUGUGAAGUGAAAUCUCCAGGGCUCAACCCGGAAACUGCUUCGCAUACUGGCGAGCUCGAGGAAUGCAGAGGUAAGUAGAAUUCCUGGUGUAGCGGUGAAAUGCGUAGAUAUCAGGAGGAAUACCGACGGCGAAGGCAGCUUACUGGGCAUUAUCUGACGCUGAGGCGCGAAAGCGUGGGUAGCAAACAGGAUUAGAUACCCUAGUAGUCC